AGCAGUGUGACCCAGUGGAAAGGGUAUGGAUCUGGAAGUCAGAGGACCUGGGUUCUAAUCCUAGCUCUGCCA
rnacentral:tRNA from 1 species